AUAUAGAACAUGUGUAAGAUGUGGUGAGUUGAUUAGAGAUGAGAUAGAGUUGA
rnacentral:guide_RNA from 1 species